rnacentral:rRNA from 1 species
UACGGAGGGGGUUAGCGUUGUUCGGAAUUACUGGGCGUAAAGCGUACGUAGGCGGAUUAGUAAGUUGGGGGUGAAAUCCCGGGGCUCAACCCCGGAACUGCCUCCAAAACUACUAGUCUUGAGAUCGUGAGAGGUGAGUGGAAUUCCGAGUGUAGAGGUGAAAUUCGUAGAUAUUCGGAGGAACAUCAGUGGCGAAGGCGGCUCACUGGCUCGAUACUGACGCUGAGGUACGAAAGUGUGGGGAGCAAACAGG